rfam:Selaginella moellendorffii unplaced genomic scaffold SELMOscaffold_12, whole genome shotgun sequence.
GCCGUCUUAGCUCAGUUGGCAGAGCAAGUGACUCUUAAUCACACGGUCGAGGGUUCGAUCCCCCCAGACGGUA